GAAGAAGGCGGGCGGCGUGCUUAACACAUGCAAGUCGAACGCUGAAGCUUGGUGCUUGCACUGGGUGGAUGAGUGGCGAACGGGUGAGUAAUACGUGAGUAACCUGCCCUUGACUCUGGGAUAAGCCUGGGAAACUGGGUCUAAUACUGGAUACGACAUGUCACCGCAUGGUGGUGUGUGGAAAGGGUUUUACUGGUUUUGGAUGGGCUCACGGCCUAUCAGCUUGUUGGUGGGGUAAUGGCUCACCAAGGCGACGACGGGUAGCCGGCCUGAGAGGGUGACCGGCCACACUGGGACUGAGACACGGCCCAGACUCCUACGGGAGGCAGCAGUGGGGAAUAUUGCACAAUGGGCGAAAGCCUGAUGCAGCGACGCCGCGUGAGGGAUGACGGCCUUCGGGUUGUAAACCUCUUUCAGCACGGAAGAAGCGAAAGUGACGGUACGUGCAGAAGAAGCGCCGGCUAACUACGUG
rnacentral:rRNA from 1 species